rnacentral:rRNA from 1 species
AGUGAACGCUGGCGGUAGGCCUAACACAUGCAAGUCGAACGGCAGCACAGGAGAGCUUGCUCUCUGGGUGGCGAGUGGCGGACGGGUGAGGAAUACAUCGGAAUCUACUCUGUCGUGGGGGAUAACGUAGGGAAACUUACGCUAAUACCGCAUACGACCUACGGGUGAAAGCAGGGGAUCUUCGGACCUUGCGCGAUUGAAUGAGCCGGUGACGGAUUAGCUAGUUGGCGGGGUAAAGGCCCACCAAGGCGACGAUCCGUAGCUGGUCUGAGAGGAUGAUCAGCCACACUGGAACUGAGACACGGUCCAGACUCCUACGGGAGGCAGCAGUGGGGAAUAUUGGACAAUGGGCGCAAGCCUGAUCCAGCCAUACCGCGUGGGUGAAGAAGGCCUUCGGGUUGUAAAGCCCUUUUGUUGGGAAAGAAAUCCAGCUGGCUAAUACCCGGUUGGGAUGACGGUACCCAAAGAAUAAGCACCGGCUAACUUCGUGCCAGCCGCCGCCGUAA